AAACCGAAAGGGUAAACCCAUCGUAAGGUGGGGGCGCAAAACCAAAGGUCCGGCACAUGCUUUAAGAGAAUGCUGAAAGUAAGGCUAACGAGAUUGGGUAGAAAAGUUCACACUUAUAGCAGAAAAACUUAAGUAAAUCAUGUGACGGAUAGCCGGGUUGCCGAC
rnacentral:ncRNA from 1 species